rnacentral:rRNA from 1 species
GACGACGCUGGCGGCGUGGAUUAGGCAUGCAAGUCGAACGGUAGGAUCCUUUCGGGGAUCUGAGAGUGGCGAACGGGUGAGUAACACGUAGGUGAUCUACCCUCAAGACGGGGACGAACCCAGGGAAACUUGGGCUAAUACCGGAUGUGAGCUAUCGCGAGAUAGUUUGAAAGGUGGCUUCGGCUGCCGCUUGAGGAUGAGCCUGCGUCCUAUUAGCGUAGUUGGUGAGGUAACGGCUCACCGAGGCAGUGAUAGGUAGGCGGCCUUAACGGGUGGUCGCCCACACUGGGAUUGAGAUACGGCCCAGACUCCUACGGGAGGCAGCAGUCGAGAAUAGUCUACAAUGGUCGGAAGACUGAUAGUGCGACGCCGCGUGAACGAUGAAUCCCUUCGGGGUGUAAAGUUCUUUUAUAUGUGAGCAGUGCUUCUUAUAUUAACAGUAUGGGGAGAGAGAUAUUAGCAUAUGAAUAAGCAACGGCUAACUCCGUG